GAUGAACGCUGGCGGCGUGCCUAAUACAUGCAAGUCGAGCGAACAGACGAGGAGCUUGCUCCUCUGACGUUAGCGGCGGACGGGUGAGUAACACGUGGAUAACCUACCUAUAAGACUGGGAUAACUUCGGGAAACCGGAGCUAAUACCGGAUAAUAUAUUGAACCGCAUGGUUCAAUAGUGAAAGACGGUUUUGCUGUCACUUAUAGAUGGAUCCGCGCCGCAUUAGCUAGUUGGUAAGGUAACGGCUUACCAAGGCAACGAUGCGUAGCCGACCUGAGAGGGUGAUCGGCCACACUGGAACUGAGACACGGUCCAGAAUCCUACGGGAGGCAGCAGUAGGGAAUCUUCCGCAAUGGGCGAAAGCCUGACGGAGCAACGCCGCGUGAAUGAUGAAGGUCUUCGGAUCGUAAAACUCUGUUAUUAGGGAAGAACAAAUGUGUAAGUAACUAUGCACGUCUUGACGGUACCUAAUCAGAAAGCCACGGCUAACUACGUG
rnacentral:rRNA from 1 species